rnacentral:misc_RNA from 1 species
GAUGAAGAACGUAGCGAACUGCGAUAAGUAAUGUGAAUUGCAGAAUUCAGUGAAUCAUCGAGUCUUUGAACGCACAUUGCGCCCCCUGGCAUUCCGGGGGGCAUGCCUGUCCGAGCGUCAUUGCUGCCCUUCAAGCCCGGCUUGUGUGUUGGGUCGUCGUCCCCCCCGGGGGACGGGCCCGAAAGGCAGCGGCGGCACCGCGUCCGGUCCUCGAGCGUAUGGGGCUUUGUCACCCGCUCGAUUAGGGCCGGCCGGGCGCCAGCCGGCGUCUCCAACCUUCUAUUUUACCAGGUUGACCUCGGAUCAGGUAGGGAUACCCGCUGAACUUAAGCAUAUCAAUAAGCGAGGA